GAUGAACGCUGGCGGCGUGCCUAAUACAUGCAAGUCGAGCGAACGGACGAGAAGCUUGCUUCUCUGAUGUUAGUGGCGGACGGGUGAGUAACACGUGGAUAACCUACCUAUAAGACUGGGAUAACUUCGGGAAACCGGAGCUAAUACCGGAUAAUAUUUUGAACCGCAUGGUUCAAAAGUGAAAGACGGUCUUGCUGUCACUUAUAGAUGGAUCCGCGCUGCAUUAGCUAGUUGGUAAGGUAACGGCUUACCAAGGCAACGAUGCAUAGCCGACCUGAGAGGGUGAUCGGCCACACUGGAACUGAGACACGGUCCAGACUCCUACGGGAGGCAGCAGUAGGGAAUCUUCCGCAAUGGGCGAAAGCCUGACGGAGCAACGCCGCGUGAGUGAUGAAGGUCUUCGGAUCGUAAAACUCUGUUAUUAGGGAGGAACAUAUGUGUAAGUAACUGUGCACAUCUUGACGGUACCUAAUCAGAAAGCCACGGCUAACUACGUG
rnacentral:rRNA from 1 species